UGUCACCAUAUGGUAACUCUGUUGGAUG
rnacentral:piRNA from 1 species